UCAUCCUGCUGGGACCUGAGGUGACCUUUCAGGGGUGGAGCUGAGCAGAACAGGCCUCAGGGGCAUCUGAGAGAACUGAACACCCUGCCCGUUCUCCAAUCCACUCUCUGGUCCGCUGGACUAUUUUCAGCUUGGAAGUCAGGUUCCAUUAGCAUCACCGAGGAGUCCUCUGGGUCUCCCUUAUGACUGUGCAAGAAAUGAGCGUCUCCCAGGAAGGCAGGGCAGUGAGAUGAAAAGCAAGUCAGCUUCAGAGCCAGGGGCACCGGGGCUCCUUCCAGGCCCAGCUCUGCCACUUACCUGCUCUGGGACUCUGCCAGAGCAUGGAACUCAUCCUCAGCACCACUUCAUGGCCCAGAAUGGUUGCUGUGGGUGCAUCUGUCACAUGCCCAUUCCAAGCCCCAGGAUAAAGCAGGAAACUGAGGUUCCCACAAGAAAUGACAGCCAGUGAGUGAUGUCCGCAUGAGACUUGUGUGCCUAUCCAGGUCCUCUUGGCCUCCUCUGGCUGUCGUUCCAGGGGCUGCCUUAACACCCAGCUCAGCAUGAGUUCCACAAACCUCAGGCAGAUGUGACCUGAGAGCACCUCGUCCAGCACCCCUCACAGCCUGACCUGUUGCCUCCCGUCCUGGGCUUCCCUGUGACCUCAACUCCACAGUGUCUGUUGCCACUUGUGCAUGCCCAGGCCAUAAGAACUGGAGGAUUAAUGCUCCACUGUGCAAAACUUUCAUCAGUGGGAGACAGAUCCAGGUGACUGAUUCUUUCCCAUUUCUUUCCCUGGAUGGACUGGGCAGAGAUGCAUUUAAAAUACUUUCUUCAAGGACAGUUUCAAUUAGUUGCACCUUGAGGAAGACAAAUUGAUAAUACAUUUUUAAAAUUGAUACAUAAUAAUUGUGUAUAUUUAUGGGGCAGAGUGUUAUUUCAAUACACAUGUACAAUGUGUAACAAAGUAGGGACAUUAGCAGAUAUAUGACCUCAAAUCUGUAAACCUGUGUAUUGGGAACAUUCAGGAUCAUUUCUUGUAGCUAUUCUGAAGAUACAAUACAUUAUUUUUUACUAUAGUUACUCUAUAGUGUUGUAGAACACCAGAGUUUUCUUUUAUCUAGCUACAUUUUUGUACUCAUUAACCAACCUCUCUCUACUACCAUCCUACUCUUACCAAACUUUGAUGACUACUAUUCUCUCCUUCUAUGAGAUCAAUCUUAGUAUCCACAUAUAAGCAAGAAUAUGAGGUAUUUGUCUUUCUGCGCCUAGGAUAUUUUGUCUUCCAAUUCCAUCUUUUUUUUUUUUUUUGCAAGU